CUCUAGGUCCUUUCUGCUGCCCCGCCCUCCUUCUCAUGAGGGGGUCUCCUCCAAGUGACACUGGAUGGAUGGAUGCUAGGGACCGACCCAUAAGAGCCCAGCACACCCCCCCCCACCCCAACCUCCUCCAACCCCCGCCCCAGCCGCUCAUUCAUUUCUCCAGCCCCCGGUGACCUGGCAGGAGGGCCUUCCAGAGUCCUCUCGUGACUUCUUUCCUGGGAGAGGCUGAGCCGGCGUUGGGCACAGCAGGACGGCUCUCUGCAGCCUCGGUGUGGCGGUGGUGGAGGCGGUUAACCUCUGGGCCACUCUGUCCCCUCCCCUAGGGCGCAGAAAGUGUUUCUCCUUUAAAAGCAUCUCACGUGGGCCUUCGAUGGAGGUCUGCUCCCUGUGUGUGUCCUGGGGACGGGCUGGGGGCAUGGUGACCCAGGCCGUGUGCUGCAGUCACGGCUGAGCCGGGAGGGCGGCAGGACCACAAACACCCCGGGUACUGGGGAAAGACUGUGCACCCGUGGGAUUGUGCACCCAGGUAGACCGAGGGGUGGGAUGGGGAUGGUUAAGGGAAGUGGGAUGGCGGCUGGGGGGUGGGGGUGGGGGAAGGAAGGGGGUCCUGUUCCCGGACUCCGGGGGGGCAGGGGUGCAGAGACAGCGGGCUGGCCCCCAUUCCUCAGCACCCUCCCGAGGUUUAAUUACGCUAUUCACAGCGUUAGAGGCUGCGUAUCCGAGAUGGUUUUUGUCGUCUCGCUGCUAAGUCAUGUCCGACUCUGCGACCCCAUAGACGAUAGCCAGAGUAGUGGCACGGGUGGCCGGCCAUGUCCUCCUCCAGGGGAUCUUCCCGACCCCGGGAUCGAACCUGCGUCUCUUAGGUCUCCUGCAUUAGCAGGUGGCUUCUUUACCACUAGCGCCACCUGAUCGUUUGUGUAUCUAAGCAAUGAAGAGACAGGUUAUGUGUCCGUCAGUCAUAUUUCCACUUCUCGCCUUUUAAUUUUUUUUUUUUUUUAACUGCAAAGAGUCCCAGCAGGACAAGGAGAGUGAGGCGAACAAGGGCCCCAGGGGCCGUCCUCCCUGGCUUCCGCAGACGUUAGCUGCCGUCAGCCUCCAGCUGGGGCCCUCGCUCGGGCGUGUCCCCGGCUCACGGGCCUGGUCGUGGGUGUGGGCCCCCGAGUCCGGCCUGCACCAGGCGCACUGUCCAAGGACUCUUGGGCUGGGUGGGUGGGGUUCGGGUACCCCCCUCCCCGCGGGCCGGUGCUCUGACCCCUCUGGUUAGAAGAGCAAGUUUCCUCUAGGGAACCUGCUGUCUGGAGGGACCGCGCCCCCCACGCGCCCCUGGGGAGCAGAGGGCUGGCUCUGCACGUCACUCAUUCUCGCUGGGGGCCCAGCCCGGCUGCGACCAGGUGCCCUCGGGAGAAGGACCGCACCCCCUGCCUUUCCCCGGGGUCCCCUCUGUCGGUCGCCUCCAGCCCCGGGGCGCCCCAGGCCCCUCUCCAAGUCCCCGCGACCCCCGCCCCCCCAACAAGCACUGCCAGCCCGCGUACCCUUCCCCUCCCGGGUUGGGGGUGCGCAUCUCCUGGGUCCAGGUCGCCCCCUACAGACGCGCGCGGAGACUGCCUGCUUUCCGCCUCCUUUAAUAAUCGUUGUCCCGUGCGGACGCCUCUUCUCCGGGAAUCACCCCCAGGCUCGCGCGGCGACCCUCGGGGCGGGGCGACCCUCAGGGCGGGGCCCGGGUCCCGAGGACCACGUGCAGCAGGUCUCCCGCGCGCGCCGCCCGCACGUCCCGGAAGCCAAGCCCCUGCAGGAGGCGCCGGUACUGCCCGGGGCCCCGGGGGGCCCGCCCCGCCCCGAGGAUCUGCAGCCCGGGGGGCCUCCGCGCCGCCCCGCCAGCCUCCUCCUCCUCCACGGGCGCCAGUUCGGCCAGCAGGAGGCCAGCGCCUGGGGAGACAGACACAGAGAUAACGGGGAAGGGACGCGCAGGCAUCCCAGGACCCAGCCUGCGGGUCCCCCGGGGCUCCCCGGGACUUCCCGGUGGGAAGGUGGGAGGAAUUCUGUCUGCAGGGACAGGGCUGCAGACUCUGCGAUGCCCGGAGGUGCGGUCUGCUCUGUCCCUCAGGCGUGUCCGACUCUGCGUCCCCGUGGACUGUAGCCCGCCGGGCUCCUCUGUCCACAGGGUUCUCCAGGCAGCAAUACUGGAGUGGGUAGGCCUGUCCCUUCUCCAGGGGAUCUUCCCGACCCAUAGAUUAAACCCGGAUCUCCCGCACUGCAGGCAGAUUCUUUACCGUCUGAGCCACCAGGGGGAGCCCAUGAGACGCCAUACGCUUGCUGCGGCUGGAAAGCUCAGAAAUGAAUGAGGGGCAACUGGCAAUCAGCUACGCAGGCGUGUGAAGAAAGGCAAGUGCAUGAAGAAAAGGCAAGUGCAGGGUCUCACCUGCUCUGCAGCCGCGGGAGACCCGGCUCAGGAGCCCGUGGAGUCUGUCGUCAGGCCCGGCGUGCGCGAGGAUGCAGAGAACGUACAGGCGGGCUCUUUACCGCUGAGCCACGAGGGAAGCCCUACCCACCCGAUACAGGAGAUAAAUAAGGUCGCCCAAAGAGUGACCACUGGCAGACAAGGACGCCGCACUGACCUGGCACAAAGUGGACCCGCUCCGACGGCCGUGCGUCGGUCUGAAAGUCCCCGGCAAGCUCGAUGACCUCUGGGAGGUCAAACACGGUCACCUGCAGACGUGGGUACUCCUGGACAAGCUUGUGGGCCAGGGCGCCCGUGCAGCCUGUGGGAAGAAAUGUGGACUCUGGACCAACCUGGCCUGUGUCCAGAAGCUCAGCUCUGGCAGGACCAAGUCAGCGCUCUCGGACAUGACCUCAGCAUGUGCCCUCACAGGAGGUCAGCCAGUGGGGAGAUCUCUGCUGUCUCAAACUCAGGGCCUUGUGGACUGAUGGUGGACCAAGCGCUGGCCCGAGCCAGGUGUGAUGGCUGGUGCCACAGCAGCCACUCUGGGCCACCAGGAGGAAAGCUGUGCAGAAGAUGGGAAAAUGCAAGCUGCCAGCUCAGGAGCCCUCCUAGGACCCCAAUCCCACUACAUCCCUUGGGAAGGCAUCUGCUCCUCCUCCAUCUAAUGUCCUGGGGGAAGGACUGGCUGGGAGGGGAGGAGGGUGUGUGUGUGGGGGGCAUAAUUAGACCUCAUGAGAUGGCAGCAGACAGGUUCCACGGCCCCCUGCUCUGCUUGGCAGCCCCCAGGAAGGGUUCCAUAACCUCUACGAGGGUCUGAGCCAUCCCUGGGACCUCCUAGCACUUGGGAAUGUCAGCCCAAGCCCCACAUCCACCCUGGACACAUUUAGAUCCUUGUGUGGUUUGUAGAGAUAAACCCAUUUUCCAAGUCUUGUUAGUA